UUGCAAAGUAAGAGAAAAAGUGGAGGAAAAUGUGAAUGCCCAUACUGACGCAACUCACUCUUUUAUUAUGCAGCAGCAUUCCAAUGUUAAAAUUUGAUGAUGGAGUAAGUCUUUUUGAGUAAGAAGCAAAAAAUGAUGACAAUAGAAGGACAUAUGGAUAAUUAAGGGGGUGUUGGAAGAAGGCAAAGCAGCAAAACAAGUGCAGCUUUCGGAGGCGGAGAUCCGCCAAAUAUUUCUCUCCGACUCCGACUCCGACUCCGACUCCAACUCCGACUCCGACUCCAACUCCAACUCCGCCAAAUAUUCGGAUCUGCGGUGGUGGAGGAUGGGUAUGAGUUCUUUGCCAAAAGAAGACUGGUUACCAUAUUCUCUGCUCCAAAUUAUGGUGGAGAGUUUGAGAAUGCAGGUGCUCUUUUGAGUGUUGAUGAAUCACUAGUGUGUUCCUUUGAGAUAUUGAAACCCAUAUUUUUGUCAAUUCAUUCUCUUCUCCUUAUACUUGCUUGGCAUAGAACUCUAUUGACUUGUUUUUGAGGUCUUCAAGUUUUAUAUUUGAUGAUUUCUAUUCACAGCCCCCUAAAAUUGAUGCACCACGAAAUGCAUUUACAAGUUUGUUUCAGUGAACGGGUGGCUAGUAUUUCUUUGUUCAUAAGCUGUCUCGUAGAGAAUGUGCGGUACCCGUAUCUUAGAAAGCUUGGAAGCUGGGAACUUGAGGAGAAUCCAUACUAACGAGUAACGGAUUAGCAGGCAAACAAGAUCUGUAAACUGGGGGACCGAGCUGUUUCCCUUUGAUCGAAUUAGAAUCCUCUUAGUGUUGGGAUAUUAUUCAAAGAAAGCCAUUGUGUUGUUAACAUUUGGGUUGCUGCAACUUAUUCCAAAUGCUAGUGUGAUUUCUUGCAUCAUUUGUACAUCCAUUGUGAUCAUCAAUGCAGCAGCAGCAGCAAUUCUAUGUCCUCUAAAAUUUUGAAGGCAAGUAGUUGUGGAAGUUCAGUUUGAGAAAUGUUAAUUGUGCACCAUAAAAUAAAACUUCUUUAAU